UACGGAGGGAGCUAGCGUUAUUCGGAAUUACUGGGCGUAAAGCGCACGUAGGCGGCUUUGUAAGUUAGAGGUGAAAGCCUGGAGCUCAACUCCAGAACUGCCUUUAAGACUGCAUCGCUUGAAUCCAGGAGAGGUGAGUGGAAUUCCGAGUGUAGAGGUGAAAUUCGUAGAUAUUACGGAAGAACACCAGUGGCGAAGGCGGCUCACUGGGACUGGUAUUGACGCUGAGACACGAAAGCGUGGGUAGCAAACAGGA
rnacentral:rRNA from 1 species